rnacentral:rRNA from 1 species
UACGAAGGGUGCAAGCGUUACUCGGAAUUACUGGGCGUAAAGCGUGCGUAGGUGGUUUUUUAAGUCCGUUGUGAAAGCCCUGGGCUCAACCUGGGAAUGGCAGUGGAUACUGGAAAGCUAGAGUGCGGUAGAGGGUAGUGGAAUUCCCGGUGUAGCAGUGAAAUGCGUAGAGAUCGGGAGGAACACCAGUGGCGAAGGCGGCUUCCUGGUCUGCGACUGACGCUGUGGCGCGAAAGCUAGGGGAGCAAACGGG